CGGGAGGCAGCAGUGGGGAAUAUUGCACAAUGGGGGAAACCCUGAUGCAGCAACGCCGCGUGGAGGAUGACACAUUUCGGUGCGUAAACUCCUUUUAUAUGGGAAGAUAAUGACGGUACCAUAUGAUAAGCACCGGCUAACUC
rnacentral:rRNA from 1 species